GUGGCCCAGCCCCUCCUCCUCUCACCUGCCCAGCAAUGGCGCCUUGCUUCUCCCAUAGGCCCAGGCCUCCCUGGCUGUGGUGCGCUACUUCCUGGCCCCUCAGGGUGUUUCUGCACAGGCCGACCCUAGUCCUCUUUCCAGAAAUGAUCUCCAAAGACGCUGUGUUUGUGGUGCCCCAGGCAGUGGUACGGAUUGUCUGUGCGGCUCUCUCUGGGCUUUGCCCUCAGACCAGUUGCUGCACUUUUCUCCAAAGCUUUGAGGUUCCACCUCCAUCCCAGCUGAUCUGUCAGGAAUUUUUAAUGAAUGUGAUCCCGGAAGAAGAAAGAUGAUCUCUGAGGAAAAUCUGAGAAGUGAGAAGACAGCCAGCUCUUGAAAAUGGAAGACCAUUGGGAUUUCCAUCCCAUGGGCUGUGAGAUUCAUGAGGUUUUGAAAAAGCAUCCCAAAAGUUUUCUUGACUAGCUGAGUUGAUUCAACUGGGUCAGAUCUUGGUGUGGCCAAAGAAAAUGAGAACUGAGAUUAAUACACUACGUUUGUUUACAUAAUGGUCACUAGAUAUCUUGAUAAAUGUUUCAGUGAACAGAAGUUUCAUUGGAGUGAAUUUCGUAAACAUGAAAAAUUGGCUCUAGGCAAUAGUUUUGAGGAGAUUUUUCUGUAAAAGCAAAAAAUGAUGGGUGUAUAGCAGGAGUAAUACAUGGGGUCAGGGGAGCUACUAUUUAAUAUGAGGAUGGGAGAGAAUUAACCAAGAUUAUAAUCUAGCAGAGAGAGGAUAAUUUGUUACAGAAGAGGCAAGAGCUUCCUGUCUAUCUUAAUAUAAGAAUAUUGGAAGAGGAGUUCCCACUGUUGCUCAGCAGGUUAAGAAUGAUGUUUUCUCUAUGAGGAUGA